UCACAGCUCUUCCUUGGGUUAGUAAGUCAGUCCUUAGGUCAUUAAGUGGGUUUUUCUACUAAGUUACUAAAAGUUUAGAACGUAUUAUUGUAACAAAUUGAAAGUAGCGAUAUUUUCCAAAUAUUUUUCUAGCCAUUCAGAUUUGCAUUGCGAUGUUGUAGUCCUUCGUGACAUCAACUUUUAGUUGUAUCCUAGCUUUGACAGGAAUGUAGUCAAGACAUUGUUGCAAGACCAGGGAUGUCUACAGCUUGUCGGGGCCUUAACCCACAAUAAUGGACACAUUCUACAUUGUGGUGUUCCUGAGGUUCUUGAUCAUCUUGUCCUGUGAAGAUCCAGGAGCGUAAAUGAUUCUCUGCCUACUCCCUGGGUGAACAAGUCAGCUCACAAAAGAAUCAAAGCACACUAAAAUUGCCAUCACAUGCGUUUUCAACAAUCUACUUUCAAAAGAGGAUGAGCUGUUUGUGCCAAUGCAUAUGUUUCUUGAUCUUAGCACAGCUAUUGUCUGUCUUGACCAUGGUAUGUAGUUCGAGAACCUUGGUAAGUCUUUUGGUUUUUUACUGGUGUUGUCCUAAUCAGAAGUAU